rnacentral:lncRNA from 1 species
CAACAACAGCAGAGCACUAAUCCAGUUCAACAAUAGCAGAGCAUUUAUCCAGUUCAACAAUAGCAGAGCUCUAAUCCAGUUCAACAAUAGUAUAGCUCUAAUCCAAUUCAACAAUAGCAGAGCUCUAAUCCAGUUCACCAUUAGCAGAGCCCUAAUCCAGUUCAACAAUAGCAGCACUCUAAUCCAGUUCAACAACAGCAGAGCACUAAUCCAGUUCAACAAUGGCAGAGCACUAAUCAAGUCCAACAAUAGCAGAGCCCUAAUCCAGUUCAACAACAGCAGAGCUCUAAUCCAGUUCAACAACAGCAGAGUCCUAAUCAAGUUCAACAACAGCAGAUCACUAAUCAAGUUCAACAACAGCAGAGCCCUAAUCCAGUUCAACAGUAGCAGAGACCUAAUCCAGUUCAACAAUAGCAGAGCCCUAAUCCAGUUCAACAACAGCAGAGCCCUAAUCCAGUUCUACUCUCUCAUACAGAUGACUAAACACAUUAAAGAACAGAGUAUUCCAAACGGCCAUCUCUGAAAGACAGACACCACAACUCAUUGAAAAUAGUGAUUCAAUAUAACACAUUAGAUCCAAUUAUGUUUUACUAAUGCAUUAGUGAGCUAAAUUCUCGGUUCCAUUAUUGAUGGAUUUGGGCCUUUGAAUAAUAUAGAGAGGGACAGUGACCUUUCUCUUCUUUGCCAGGAAAAGCCAACAAAAGUAGCACAUCUUUUUCAGGCAUUAAUUAAAACGUUGACAAUAACAGAAGACAUUCCACGAAAUGAGUGUGAAAGCCGAGUGCUUUGUUGGUGCUCUUAAACGUUUUAAUGUUUUUGAGUGUUGUAUUGUUCUAACACAUACGUCCAAUCAAAAGACAGUAUAAUAUUCUGUCCCUAAAAGGACUAAUGUCUUGGACACACUAUGCUACUGCAUGACAAAGUCAACCUUCAUUUUCACACCAUACAUUAAUCCAGACACUCUUAAAGCCAGAUUGGAGGAGUCCUUAGGACAGAUUGUAGCUUUACAGUAUAUUCUGUCUGUAGGGUUGUUAGUGUGGUGGCGGGUGGGUUACGGUACUAGGACGGUUAUCUUUAGGGCAGAUGAUGAUUCUACUUUACUGUUUGAUGAGGUUCAGUACUAUGGUUCAUGUAUGUUUUCUGUUCAGGGCAGACCUGGAAGGCAGGGAUUCCCAGGGAAAACAGGUCCCGAAGGACUGAAGGGCGAGACCGGAAUAACUGGAGAGGUCGGAAAGCUUGGCGAGAGGGGGCUGAUGGGUUUCAUCGGCCCUGUUGGGGAGCCUGGCCUCGCAGGAGAAAAGGUUAGCUGUGUAUCUUUGCGUUGGACAUUACAGGAAGGCUUUUCAACUGUUGUUUCGGUCAUAUUGAAAGAUUCAGAUUUGUUAUUGCUCUACUUUCCCAGUGGGCAAAGAUGGUUGAAAUGA